GGACCCGCACAAGCGGUGGAGCAUGUGGUUUAAUUCGAUGCAACGCGAAGAACCUUACCUGGUCUUGACAUCCUGCGAACUUUCUAGAAAUAGAUUGGUGCCUUCGGGAACGCAGUGACAGGUGCUGCAUGGCUGUCGUCAGCUCGUGUCGUGAGAUGUUGGGUUAAGUCCCGUAACGAGCGCAACCCCCAUCCUUAUUUGCCAGCACAUUAUGGUGGGAACUAUAAGGAGACUGCCGGUGAUAAACCGGAGGAAGGCGGGGACGACGUCAAGUCAUCAUGGCCCUUACGACCAGGGCUACACACGUGCUACAAUGGGAAGGACAAAGAGCCGCGAAGCCGCGAGGUGUAGCU
rnacentral:rRNA from 1 species